rnacentral:lncRNA from 1 species
UCGAUCCUUCUUCCACAUGGCAUUCUCCUCCUCCCUCGCCUUCCUCCUGGUCCGCGUAUUCCGCCUCGUCGGCGAACCCAGGAACUCUGAGUUCUCUUGAUCCUUCUCCGCCUUGCUCACCGAUCCCACCGAUAACAACCCCACCUCUGUCGUUGACUCCAACGAUGACCCCCAAUCGCCCCCAAACCCCAACCUCAACCUCCACAACAACCACCCAUUCUUCUCCUCCCCCCGGAGCCUGCCCCGCCGGCGCCGCGCUCGCCUCCGUCUCUGUUCCCCGUCUACUUCAACCCAAGACCACGCCUGCUUCGCCGUGGGGACAGACCACGAGUUGUGGAUCUACAACUACGAGCUCGAUCCGUUCUGGAGUUGUGGAUCUUUCGCCGCGACUUCGACAACGGCAAGGAAUCGGCGUCGUUGAGGCGUAGAUCUUAGGUUUGAGCUUGGAUUGCAGAGAGAUCUGGGCAGCUAGGGGGACGACGCAGCCUCGGCUGUCUUUCCGACGACGGAUCCACGACGACUUUUUCGAUAAUAUAGCGAUAUUUUGACGAUAAUGAGACAUAUAUGUGAAAAAAUAUCGAAGCCUCUGAAAAACGAUAAUAUCGGCGAAAUAUCGCCGAUAUUAUCGAUAUUUAAAACCAUGUUAAAGACUCUUACAAAAUUUAUAUAGAUUUUUUAAAGAAUUUGAAUAGAAUGUGGGGGAAUGAUUUGAAAUCCUAGGGGGUUGAGGUUGGAUUUUUUUAGUUUUGGUUAUAUAUAGUUUUUGCUUUCAAAUCCUACGAAAUCCAUAAUUUUUUAAAAUCCUUUAAAAUCUUAAUUUUUUAAUACAUUCAGAUUUGGAUGGAUUCUAAAAUCCUUUAACAUCUUUUAAUUGACUAUACCUAAAUUUGAAUGAAUUCUAAAAUCUUUUAAUUGACUACCUGAAUUUUAAUGAAUUCUAAAAUCUUUUAAAAUUUAAUUAACUAUUCUAAGAUUUGAAAGUUUUUUUAAAACUUCUCAAAUCCAAGUUUGACUACACCACUUAUAUUUCUCUUUUUCAAAAUAAGAAAAGACGGGUUCGUAAAUCUUUCUUGACGAAUUUAAAUCAUAUUAUCAUAUUCGUUCGAUAUCAGAAAUUAUUUUAAAUAUUUUUAUUUAAAAUUAAAUACAAAUAGUAUUUGAUAAAAAUUAAUCAGACUUCAAUUUACAGAUUUUAAGAAUCCUCACCGAUCCGGAGAGGAUCCUGUUGGCUUCUCGGCAACUGCUCCUUCCGCAUCAAACUUCCAGGGACUCUUUCCCUCUCUUUCCUCGGCAAAAAUGGAGUAAAACCAGAGGAAGGCUUGCUUGCUUCUCCCGUGAAUCAGCACAACCGUCUGGGUUCUCUCUCUUUCUUCUCUGUCGACGACAACAACAACAACGGGGUAUCCAUCAUGGCGAUUUCGAACCAGAGUAUAAAGCCGUAGGCCUUUGGAGUUCCGCAACUGAAGGAAGGUUCAGACCAAGCCUCGCAACAGGAGAGGCAGCAACCUCCCCACUUCCCCCGGUCGCUGCGUCACUGGUCACAAGCAGCGGCAGCGGCAGCAGCAAGCUUGUCAUUUCCUGGAAUUCCGUCAACAAAAGGAAUCCCUGAAUCCGCAUCAUCAUCGUUGCAAUUCUGAACCUGCACCCGCAACCGACGAUCACCAACACUUGAACCAAAAGGAAAGCUCGAGCCAAAAGAUACAACUAGAGCACGGAAGAUAUUUUCUUUUCUUAAUUCAACUAGAGCACGGAAGGCAAAAGUUUCAAAUGGAACAAAGCCACGUCAAGUCUUAAAUGGCACAAAGCCAUAUCAAAUGUCAAAUGGCACGAAGCCUCGUCAACUUUCAAAUGGUACGAAGCGACAAGUCUCAUAUAAGAUAAAGUCGCUACAAGGCUCAAAUGGCUCUAAAAAAUACAAAUAUUUCUUUAGGGUGUCAUCCACUAAUUGAAAAUACUAAAUCAUUGUGAACUACAUCGUUUUGAUUAUAUCAAGGAUACGUAGGCAAUCUAUUACCAUAUUUUAGACACAACCGUAAAGCCCAAAUACAAAACAGAAUCCCUGGUUUAUUCAACCAAAUUCAUCCAAAUAAACCAAAAACCAAAUCUUUUUUAGUGGGUUAUUCACUCACUAAAAAUCCCAAACCAAAUCAUAAACUACUGAGUGACUUGAUCCCUUAAAAGGGUACGUAGGCAAUCUAAGGCUCAACCUAGGUGCAAUCACAAAAUCAAAUAAAAACAACAAUCCCCA